AUGAAGUUGGUUCAGGUUCACCCUGCUCAGUUUCUCUUUAACAAUCUUCCUGAGACGGCAGAUCCGGAGGAUAUGGUGUGUUUCCUAAUGGAAUUUGGUGGGCAAGCGCUGACGAUCGCAAAGCUACAUCGACUCAUAAAGGUUAUCAAGUUUGAGCCCGAGCACGACGUCCGUGCGCGUUUGCAGAGCAUCGGCAGAUUCGCCAUCUUUGUCGGCCAUGCCAGGUGCUUAGCCGUCGAUGCCGACAAGUUCCCGUCCGUCGAAGCGAACUGCGUCUACUACAUUGAACGCUUGGGCUCGUCUGCCCACAUGUGCAAGUACAGCCUCCAGGAUGAGAAAGAUGAGAGGGUCUCUGACGCUGUAGAUUUUGUGAAGCAUAACAAGCAGUUUGUCCUUGCCGCUGACCGUCCUUUCACGAUCAUCCAUCUUAUCGCGAGCUAUACCAUCAACGUCCGGGAUUCUGAACUAGCCUCGCAACAAAUA
rnacentral:rRNA from 1 species